rnacentral:lncRNA from 1 species
CUGACAAAGGCCCCUCCUCUUGAUGUCCACACCCACGUCCACACCCCCAGAAGCAUCUCCGAGGAGAAUCGCUCUGUGCUGCCUAUUACACACGUGGGAGAGAAGGAUCAGAAGGAGAACAUUCACGCCCCCUUCUGAGAUUCCCCAAACUAACAGCUAACGUAGAUCGCUGGCUCACCCCGUCUCUGAGCUGGGCUCUCGGCACGAAGGCGGCUGAUGUCAUGUCACCGCCACCCUGCGUGAAGGCACCUUUGUGACCCCACUCCAGAGACGAGGAACCGGAAGCCCAAGCGGCCAGCCUCAGACCACAGGCCGAAGCCCAAAGCGCCAGGAUCUGCAGCCCAGGCAGCCUGGCCCCGGAGGCUGCCCCUCAACCGCCCCGCAGAGCCGCCUCCCAAGUGGCAAUGGAGGAAAUAAACACAGCUGCCCGGCCGCCAGGGGUCGGCCUGGAGGAGACCAUGUGCCCCCACCCCACCCCCGUCCGCGCCCACCCCCCCCGCCCCUCCCCCCCUGCUCCCAGGGCACUGCCGCGGGGCAGCCAGCGCAGGCCUCCGCCAGCCUCGAGUGGAAUUCACACGGGUCUCUCUAGCUCUUCUCCAUUUUUUUUU